ACGCUCGACACCUACGGGAGCAGCAGUGGGGGAUAUUGCACAAUGGGGGAAACCCUGAUGCAGCAACGCCGCGUGAGGGAAGACGGUUUUCGGAUUGUAAACCUCUGUCAUCGGUGACGAUAAUGACGGUAGCCGAUGAGGAAGCUCCGGCUAACUACGUGCCGGCAGCCGCGGUAAUCUGAGCGGGCUGGCAAGGC
rnacentral:rRNA from 1 species